rnacentral:rRNA from 1 species
UACGGGGGGGGCAAGCGUUGUUCGGAAUUACUGGGCGUAAAGGACUCGUAGGCGGCCAACUAAGUCAGACGUGAAAUCCCUCGGCUUAACCGGGGAACUGCAUCUGAUACUGGAUGGCUUGAGUUCGGGAGAGGGAUGCGGAAUUCCAGGUGUAGCGGUGAAAUGCGUAGAUAUCUGGAGGAACACCGGUGGCGAAGGCGGCAUCCUGGACCGACACUGACGCUGAGGAGCGAAAGCCAGGGGAGCAAACGGG